rnacentral:SRP_RNA from 1 species
GCCAGGUGUGGUGAUGCACACCUGUAGUCCCAGCUACUCGGGAGGCUGAGGCAGAAGAAUUGCUUGAACGCGGGAGGCAGAGGUUGCAGUGAGCCAAGAUUGCACCACUGCACUCUAGCCUGGGUGACAGAGCAAUACUCUGUCUCAA